rnacentral:rRNA from 1 species
AGAGUUUGAUCCUGGCUCAGGAUGAACGCUGGCGGCGUGCCUAAUACAUGCAAGUCGAGCGAACGGACGAGAAGCUUGCUUCUCUGAUGUUAGCGGCGGACGGGUGAGUAACACGUGGAUAACCUACCUAUAAGACUGGGAUAACUUCGGGAAACCGGAGCUAAUACCGGAUAAUAUUUUGAACCGCAUGGUUCAAAAGUGAAAGACGGUCUUGCUGUCACUUAUAGAUGGAUCCGCGCUGCAUUAGCUAGUUGGUAAGGUAACGGCUUACCAAGGCAACGAUGCAUAGCCGACCUGAGAGGGUGAUCGGCCACACUGGAACUGAGACACGGUCCAGACUCCUACGGGAGGCAGCAGUAGGGAAUCUUCCGCAAUGGGCGAAAGCCUGACGGAGCAACGCCGCGUGAGUGAUGAAGGUCUUCGGAUCGUAAAACUCUGUUAUUAGGGAAGAACAUAUGUGUAAGUAACUGUGCACAUCUUGACGGUACCUAAUCAGAAAGCCACGGCUAACUACGUGCCAGCAGCCGCGGUAAUACGUAGGUGGCAAGCGUUAUCCGGAAUUAUUGGGCGUAAAGCGCGCGUAGGCGGUUUUUUAAGUCUGAUGUGAAAGCCCACGGCUCAACCGUGGAGGGUCAUUGGAAACUGGAAAACUUGAGUGCAGAAGAGGAAAGUGGAAUUCCAUGUGUAGCGGUGAAAUGCGCAGAGAUAUGGAGGAACACCAGUGGCGAAGGCGACUUUCUGGUCUGUAACUGACGCUGAUGUGCGAAAGCGUGGGGAUCAAACAGGAUUAGAUACCCUGGUAGUCCACGCCGUAAACGAUGAGUGCUAAGUGUUAGGGGGUUUCCGCCCCUUAGUGCUGCAGCUAACGCAUUAAGCACUCCGCCUGGGGAGUACGACCGCAAGGUUGAAACUCAAAGGAAUUGACGGGGACCCGCACAAGCGGUGGAGCAUGUGGUUUAAUUCGAAGCAACGCGAAGAACCUUACCAAAUCUUGACAUCCUUUGACAACUCUAGAGAUAGAGCCUUCCCCUUCGGGGGACAAAGUGACAGGUGGUGCAUGGUUGUCGUCAGCUCGUGUCGUGAGAUGUUGGGUUAAGUCCCGCAACGAGCGCAACCCUUAAGCUUAGUUGCCAUCAUUAAGUUGGGCACUCUAAGUUGACUGCCGGUGACAAACCGGAGGAA